AAACCAACAGGGAUUGCCUCAGUAACGGCGAGUGAAGCGGCAAAAGCUCAAAUUUGAAAUCUGGUACCUUCGGUGCCCGAGUUGUAAUUUGAAGAUUGUACUCUGGAGUUGGCCCUUGUCUAUGUUCCUUGGAACAAGACGUCACAGAGGGUGAGAAUCCCGUGCGAUGGGGUGUCCAAUUCCAUGUAGAGUGCUAUCGAAGAGUCGAGUUGUUUGGGAAUGCAGCUCUAAGUGGGUGGUAAAUUCCAUCUAAAGCUAAAUAUUGGCGAGAGACCGAUAGCGAACAAGUACAGUGAUGGAAAGAUGAAAAGAACUUUGAAAAGAGAGUGAAAAAGUACGUGAAAUUGUUGAAAGGGAAGGUUAUUAGAUCAGACUUGGUGUUUGGCGAUAUUCAGUCUCUUGUAGGCUGUUCACUCGUCUUUCACUGGGCCAGCAUCGGUUUGGAUGGCAGGAUAAUGGCCGUUGAACGUGGCUCUUCGGAGUGUUAUAGCUUCAGCUGAUACUGCCUAUCUAGACCGAGGACUGCGGCUUUCGGGCCUAGGAUGCUGGCGUAAUGAUCUAAUAUCGC
rnacentral:rRNA from 1 species